GGUUGGACAUCGUGAGGUUAGUGCAAUGGCAUAAGCCCGCUUGACUGCGAGAAUGACAAUUCGAGCAGGUGCGAAAGCAGGUCAUAGUGAUCCGGUGGUUCUGAAUGGAAGGGCCAUCGCUCAACGGAUAAAAGGUACUCCGGGGAUAACAGGCUGAUACCGCCCAAGAGUUCAUAUCGACGGCGGUGUUUGGCACCUCGAUGUCGGCUCAUCACAUCCUGGGGCUGAAGUCGGUCCCAAGGGUAUGGCUGUUCGCCAUUUA
rnacentral:rRNA from 1 species